AGAUUAAGUUAUUAAGGGCGCACGGUGGAUGCCUUGGCACUAGAAGCCGAUGAAGGACGUUACUAACGACGAUAUGCUUUGGGGAGCUGUAAGUAAGCUUUGAUCCAGAGAUUUCCGAAUGGGGAAACCCAGCAUGAGUUAUGUCAUGUUAUCGAUAUGUGAAUACAUAGCAUAUCAGAAGGCACACCCGGAGAACUGAAACAUCUUAGUACCCGGAGGAAGAGAAAGAAAAUUCGAUUCCCUUAGUAGCGGCGAGCGAAACGGGAAGAGCCCAAACCAACAAGCUUGCUUGUUGGGGUUGUAGGACACUCUAUACGGAGUUACAAAGGACGACAUUAGACGAAUCAUCUGGAAAGAUGAAUCAAAGAAGGUAAUAAUCCUGUAGUCGAAAAUGUUGUCUCUCUUGAGUGGAUCCUGAGUACGACGGAGCACGUGAAAUUCCGUCGGAAUCUGGGAGGACCAUCUCCUAAGGCUAAAUACUCUCUAGUGACCGAUAGUG
rnacentral:rRNA from 1 species